UACGGAGGGUGCAAGCGUUAAUCGGAAUUACUGGGCGUAAAGGGUUCGUAGGUGGUUUGCUAAGUUAUCUGUGAAAGCCCUGGGCUCAACCUGGGAAGGUCAGAUAAUACUGGUGAACUCGAGUAUAGGAGAGGGUAGUGGAAUUUCCGGUGUAGCGGUGAAAUGCGUAGAGAUCGGAAGGAACACCAGUGGCGAAGGCGGCUACCUGGCCUAAUACUGACACUGAGGAACGAAAGCGUGGGGAGCAAACAGG
rnacentral:misc_RNA from 1 species